rnacentral:rRNA from 1 species
AGGGUUUGAUCAUGGCUCAGAUUGAACGCUGGCGGCACGCCUAACACAUGCAAGUCGAGCGGUAGCAUGAUUAGUAGCAAUACUAAUUGAUGACGAGCGGCGGACGGGUGAGGAACACGUAGGAACCUACCCUCAAGCGGGGGAUAACUAAGGGAAACUUUAGCUAAUACCGCAUAAUCUCGAGAGAGAAAAGCUACCCGCAAGGGCGGCACUUGAGGAGGGGCCUGCGUCCGAUUAGCUAGCUGGUGAGGUAAUGGCUCACCAGGGCGAUGAUCGGUAACUGGUCUGAGAGGACGACCAGUCACACUGGGACUGAGACACGGCCCAGACUCCUACGGGAGGCAGCAGUGGGGAAUAUUGGACAAUGGGGGCAACCCUGAUCCAGCGAUGCCGCGUGAGUGAAGAAGGCCCUCGGGUCGUAAAGCUCUUUAGUCCGGGAAGAAGGUAUUGUGGUGCAUAGCCACGAUAUUUGACGGUACCGGAAGAAUAAGCACCGGCAAACCCUGUGCCAGCAGCCGCGGUAAUACAGGGGGUGCGAGCGUUAAUCGGAGUUACUGGGUGUAAAGGGCGCGUAGGCGGUGAGAUGUGUGUGAUGUGAAAGCCCCGGGCUUAACCUGGGAAGUGCAUUGCAAACUAUCUGACUAGAGUAUAUGAGAGGGUGGCGGAAUUUCCGGUGUAGCGGUGAAAUGCGUAGAGAUCGGAAGGAACGUCAAUGGCGAAGGCAGCCACCUGGCAUAAUACUGACG